CGACCUCAGAUCAGACGUGGCGACCUGCUGAAUUUAAGCAUAUUAGUCAGUGGAGGAAAAGAAACUAACGAGGAUUCCCUCAGUAACGGCGAGUGAAGAGGGAAGAGCCCAGCGCCGAAUCCCCGCCCCACGGUGGGGCACGGGACAUGUGGCGUACAGAAGCCCCCCUCCCCAGCGGCGCUCUCGGGGGACCCAAGUCCUUGUGAUCGAGGCCGCAGCCCGUGGACAGUGUGAGGCCGGUAGCGGCCCCCCGGCGCGCCGGGCCC
rnacentral:ncRNA from 1 species